rnacentral:rRNA from 1 species
GACGAACGCUGGCGGCGUGCUUAACACAUGCAAGUCGAACGGAAAGGCCCCUUUGGGGGUCCUCGAGUGGCGAACGGGUGAGUAACACGUGAGUAACCUGCCCUUGACUUCGGGAUAACUUCAGGAAACUGGGGCUAAUACCGGAUAGGAAUCCUUGCUGCAUGGUGGGGGUUGGAAAGCUUCGGCGGUUUUGGAUGGACUCGCGGCUUAUCAGCUUGUUGGUGGGGUAGUGGCUUACCAAGGCUUUGGCGGGUAGCCGGCCUGAGAGGGCGACCGGCCACAUUGGGACUGAGAUACGGCCCAGACUCCUACGGGAGGCAGCAGGGGGGAAUAUUGCACAAUGGGCGGAAGCCUGAUGCAGCAACGCCGCGUGCGGGAGGACGGCCUUCGGGUCGUAAACCGCUUUCAGCAGGGGCGAAGCUUGUGGUGACGGUACCUGCAGAAGAAGCACCGGCUAACUACGUG